UCGUGUCUUCCUUGUGAUUUUUGACUUAUUUCUGGGGUUAUAUUCUAUAUAGACAAAGACAAGUUAAUGAUAUCUUCCCUAGUUAUGGUUGCACCUUUUUUACUUGCAUUUGUGCAACAGAUGCCUCUUCUGUUUUUGUUGUUUUCCACAUCAAUUAGAUGAUUGUCUAUCACCCACCUUCACCCCAAUCACAGUCAUUGUCCUGUUCCAUGGAAAAUGCAAAUUUCCCAUGCUUGCUGUUUGAUUUCCAGCUGUGGUUAUGGG
rnacentral:lncRNA from 1 species